GAGUGUGAAUAGAAUGGUCUGGAAAGGCCAACCAUAGUGGGUGACAGUCCCGUAUGCGAAAAUGAUCAAUCAGGACUCGAGUAGGGCGGAACACGUGAAAUUCUGUCUGAACAUGGGGGGACCACCCUCCAAGCCUAAAUACUCGUAUGUGACCGAUAGUGAACAAGUACCGUGAGGGAAAGGUGAAAAGCACCCCGACGAGGGGAGUGAAACAGUACCUGAAACCGAACGCCUACAAUCAGUUGGAGGGCCCUUGAGGCCUGACAGCGUACCUUUUGUAUAAUGGGUCAGCGACUUAUGUUCAGUGGCGAGGUUAACCGUUUAGGGGAGCCGUAGGGAAACCGAGUCUUA
rnacentral:rRNA from 1 species